rnacentral:rRNA from 1 species
ACGCCAGUCUGCAUGGAGCCGACCUUGAAAUACCACCCUUUAAUGUUUGAUGUUCUAACGUUGACCCGUGAUCCGGGUUGCGGACAGUGUCUGGUGGGUAGUUUGACUGGGGCGGUCUCCUCCUAAAGAGUAACGGAGGAGCACGAAGGUUGGCUAAUCCUGGUCGGACAUCAGGAGGUUAGUGCAAUGGCAUAAGCCAGCUUGACUGCGAGCGUGACGGCGCGAGCAGGUGCGAAAGCAGGUCAUAGUGAUCCGGUGGUUCUGAAUGGAAGGGCCAUCGCUCAACGGAUAAAAGGUACUCCGGGGAUAACAGGCUGAUACCGCCCAAGAGUUCAUAUCGACGGCGGUGUUUGGCACCUCGAUGUCGGCUCAUCACAUCCUGGGGCUGAAGUAGGUCCCAAGGGUAUGGCUGUUCGCCAUUUAAAGUGGUACGCGAGCUGGGUUUAGAACGUCGUGAGACAGUUCGGUCCCUA